rnacentral:rRNA from 1 species
AAACCAUUCUACCUCCUUAGUACGGGCGACAGAAAAGAAGAUUGUGGAGCCAUAGCCCAAGUACCGCAAGGGAAAGCUGAAAGAGAGAUGAAAUAGCCCAGUAAAGCCUAAAAAAGCAGAGAUUUAGCCUCGUACCUUUUGCAUCAUGAUUUAGCUAGCACCUUUAGGCAAAGAGAACUUCAGUCUAAAACCCCGAAACUAAGUGAGCUACUCCAAGACAGCCUAUUAAUUAGGGCAAACCCGUCUCUGUGGCAAAAGAGUGGGAAGAGCUUUGAGUAGAGGUGACAGACCUACCGAACUUAGUUAUAGCUGGUUGUCUGAGAAAUGGAUAGAAGUUCAGCCUCCCGGAUUCUCAUCUCACCCUUUGUUUAAUACCUACGGACACCUUGAGAAGCCAAGAGAGUUAUUCAAAGGGGGUACAGCCCCUUUGAAAUAGGACACAACCUUUGAAGCAGGGUAAAGAUCAUACUACUGAAGGAAAAACUGUCUUAGUGGGCCUAAAAGCAGCCACCCUAAAAGAAAGCGUUAAAGCUUAGACAUUCAAAAACCCUACGAUUCUGAUCAUUUAAUCUCAACCCCCUUUAACCUACCAGACCACCCUAUGCCCGCAUAGGAGAGACCAUGCUAAUAUGAGUAAUAAGAGAACACUUGUUUCUCUCUCCAGCACACGCAUAACUCGGAACGGACCCCUCCCCCGAACAUUAACGGCCCCAAAUAAAGAGGGUACUGAAAAAAGACCUGAAAACCAGAAGACCUUUCAAUAAACUACCGUUAACCCUACACUGGUGUGCCCCCUGAGAAAGACUAAAAGAAAGAGAAGGAACUCGGCAAACAUACCUUACAAGCCUCGCCUGUUUACCAAAAACAUCGCCUCUUGCAAAACUAAAGUAUAAGAGGUCCCGCCUGCCCAGUGACACCCAGUUCAACGGCCGCGGUAUUUUGACCGUGCAAAGGUAGCGUAAUCACUUGUCUUUUAAAUGAAGACCUGUAUGAAUGGCAUAACGAGGGCUUAGCUGUCUCCUCUCUCCAGUCAAUGAAGUUGAUUUCCCCGUGCAGAAGCGGGGAUAAUUACAUAAGACGAGAAGACCCUAUGGAGCUUGAGACGGUAGGGCAGCCCAUGUUAAACACCCCUCUAUGCCGGGCUAAACUAAAUGGCCCCUGCCUUAAUGUCUUCGGUUGGGGCGACCCUGGGGAAUACAAAACCCCCACGUGGAACAGGAGCACCCCCCCCACCAACUCCUCCAAACUAGAGCCACACCUCAAAUUAACAAAACUUUUGACCAAAAUGAUCCGGCAAUGCCGAUCAACGGACCAAGUUACCCUAGGGAUAACAGCGCAAU